rnacentral:rRNA from 1 species
CCGACGGUGAGAGGCGAAAGCUGGGGGAGCAAACCGGAUUAGAUACCCGGGUAGUCCCAGCUGUAAACGAUGCGCGUUAGGUGUGUCAGUGACCACGUGUCACUGAUGUGCCGAAGGGAAACCGUGAAACGCGCCGCCUGGGGAGUACGGUCGCAAGGCUGAAACUUAAGGGAAUUGGCGGGGGAGCACCACAACGGGUGGAGCCUGCGGUUUAAUCGGACUCAACGCCGGAAAUCUCACCGGAUAA